GACGAACGCUGGCGGCGUGCUUAACACAUGCAAGUCGAACGGAAAGGCCCUGCUUGCAGGGUACUCGAGUGGCGAACGGGUGAGUAACACGUGGGUGAUCUGCCCUGCACUUCGGGAUAAGCCUGGGAAACUGGGUCUAAUACCGGAUAGGAGCCAUUUUUAGUGUGAUGGUUGGAAAGUUUUUUCGGUGUAGGAUGAGCUCGCGGCCUAUCAGCUUGUUGGUGGGGUAAUGGCCUACCAAGGCGGCGACGGGUAGCCGGCCUGAGAGGGUGGACGGCCACAUUGGGGCGGAGAGCGGGCCAAGACUCGUAGGGGGGGCGGGGGGGGGGAAUGUGGCAAAGGGGGCCCAGGCCGGUUGCGGCGACGCCGGGGGGGGGAUGCCGGCUUUGGGGUGUUAAACUCUUUCCGCUAGGGACGAAGCUUUUGGGACGGUACCUAAAAAAGAAGCCCCGGCUAACUCCGUC
rnacentral:rRNA from 1 species